rnacentral:rRNA from 1 species
CCUACGGGAGGCUGCAGUGGGGAAUAUUGGACAAUGGGGGGAACCCUGAUCCAGCCAUGCCGCGUGUGUGAAGAAGGCCCUCGGGUUGUAAAGCACUUUCAGUGAGGAAGAACGCCUGGUGGUUAAUACCCAUCAGGAAAGACAUCACUCACAGAAGAAGCACCGGCUAACUCCGUGCCAGCAGCCGCGGUAAUACGGAGGGUGCGAGCGUUAAUCGGAAUUACUGGGCGUAAAGCGCGCGUAGGUGGCUUGAUAAGCCGGUUGUGAAAGCCCCGGGCUCAACCUGGGAACGGCAUCCGGAACUGUCAAGCUAGAGUGCAGGAGAGGAAGGUAGAAUUCCCGGUGUAGCGGUGAAAUGCGUAGAGAUCGGGAGGAAUACCAGUGGCGAAGGCGGCCUUCUGGACUGACACUGCCACUGAGGUGCGAAAGCGUGGGUAGCACACAGGAUUAGAUACCCUUGUAGUC